rnacentral:rRNA from 1 species
GAUGAGCGCUAGCUGCAGGCUUAACACAUGCAAGUCGAGGGGAAACGAUAGAGAAAGCUUGCUUUUUCUAGGCGUCGACCGGCGCACGGGUGAGUAACGCGUAUCCAACCUGCCCAUCACUUGGGGAUAACCUUGCGAGAGUAAGACUAAUACCCAAUGAUAUCUCUAGAAGACAUCUGAAAGGGAUUAAAGAUUUAUCGGUGAUGGAUGGGGAUGCGUCUGAUUAGCUUGUUGGCGGGGUAACGGCCCACCAAGGCGACGAUCAGUAGGGGUUCUGAGAGGAAGGUCCCCCACAUUGGGACUGAGACACGGUCCAAACUCCUACGGGAGGCAGCAGUGAGGAAUAUUGGUCAAUGGACGAGUGUCUGAACCAGCCAAGUAGCGUGCAGGAAGACGGCCCUAUGGGUUGUAAACUGCUUUUAUAAGGGAAUAAAGUGAGUCUCGUGAGACUUUUUGCAUGUACCUUAUGAAUAAGGACCGGCUAAUUCCGUGCCAGCCGCCGCGGUAA